rnacentral:rRNA from 1 species
AACGAACGCUGGCGGCAUGCCUAACACAUGCAAGUCGAACGAGACCUUCGGGUCUAGUGGCGCACGGGUGCGUAACGCGGGGGAACCUGCCCGUAGGUUCGGAAUAACUCCCCGUAGGGGGUGCUAAUACCGGAUAAUGUCCUCGGACCAAAGAUUUAUCGCCUUUGGAUGGGCCCGCGUUGGAUUAGCUAGUUGGUAGGGUAAAAGCCUACCAAGGCGACGAUCCAUAGCUGGUCUGAGAGGAUGAUCAGCCACACUGGGACUGAGACACGGCCCAGACUCUUACGGGAGGCAGCAGUGGGGAAUAUUGGCAAAUGGGCGAGAGCCUGAUCCAGCAAUGCCGGGUGAGUGAUGAAGGCCUUAGGGUUGUAAAGCUCUUUUACCCGGGAUGAUAAUGACAGUACCGGGAGAAUAAGCUCCGGCUAACUCCGUG